rnacentral:sRNA from 1 species
AAAUAGCCCCGAUAGAAGCGGCAUCCUUUUGUGGAUGCCGUUUUGCGUUUGGGAUGGUGGCAUCUACAAAAGAUACAGCUGAUAGCGGGAUAAAGC